GGACGAACGCUGGCGGCACGCUUAACACAUGCAAGUCGAACGGAGAUAAUUGAGUUACUUAGAUUAUCUUAGUGGCGGACGGGUGAGUAACACGUGAGCAACCUACCUUAGAGAGAGGGAUAGCUUCUGGAAACGGAUGGUAAUACCUCAUAACAUAACUGAACCGCAUGAUUUAGUAUCAAAGAUUUAUCACUCUGAGAUGGGCUCGCGUCUGAUUAGAUAGUUGGUGAGGUAACGGCUCACCAAGUCGACGAUCAGUAGCCGGACUGAGAGGUUGAACGGCCACAUUGGGACUGAGACACGGCCCAGACUCCUACGGGAGGCAGCAGUGGGGAAUAUUGCACAAUGGGGGAAACCCUGAUGCAGCGAUGCCGCGUGGAGGAAGAAGGUUUUCGGAUUGUAAACUCCUGUCUUAAAGGACGAUAAUGACGGUACUUUAGGAGGAAGCUCCGGCUAACUACGUGCCAGCAGCCGC
rnacentral:rRNA from 1 species